CACCUCUAGCAUUACUAGUAUUAGAGGCACUGCCUGCCCAGUGACACACGUUUAACGGCCGCGGUACCCUGACCGUGCAAAGGUAGCAUAAUCACUUGUUCUUUAAAUGGGGACUCGCAUGAAAGGCACCACGAGGGUUUAACUGUCUCUUACUUUUAACCAGUGAAAUUGACCUGCCCGCGAAGAGGCGGGCAUAAAAUAAUAAGACGAGAAGACCCUAUGGAGCUUUAAUCUAUUAAUGCAAUCAAAAACUACACAAACCCACGGACCUUUAAACUACCGACACCUGCAUUAAAAAUUUUGGUUGGGGCGACCUCGGAGCACAACAAAACCUCCGAAUAACACAUGCUAAGACCACACAAGUCAAAGCAAACCAGCACCUGUAAUUGACCCAAUGACUUGACCAACGGAACAAGUUACCCUAGGGAUAACAGCGCAAUCCUAUUCCAGAGUCCAUAUCGACAAUAGGGUUUACGACCUCGAUGUUGGAUCAGGACAUCCUAAUGGUGCAGCAGCUAUCAAGGGUUCGUUUGUUCAACGAUUAAAGUCCU
rnacentral:rRNA from 1 species